AUCCCAUCAGCAACCAGACUCAACAUCUGGACCUCACUCAACUCUGUCACACAUGUGCAGUUCCUCCAGAUUCAGUGUCUCUGAUCGUGCUGAUCUCUGCUGCUGCUGCUGGAUCUCUGUUGAUUGUUGCUGCAGUCGUGAUCUUCUGCAUCU